UACGAAGGGGGCUAGCGUUGCUCGGAAUCACUGGGCGUAAAGCGUACGUAGGCGGGUCUUUAAGUCAGGGGUGAAAUCCCGGAGCUCAACUCCGGAACUGCCUUUGAUACUGGAGAUCUUGAGUCCGGGAGAGGUGAGUGGAACUCCGAGUGUAGAGGUGAAAUUCGUAGAUAUUCGGAAGAACACCAGUGGCGAAGGCGGCUCACUGGCCCGGUACUGACGCUGAGGUGCGAAAGCGUGGGGAGCAAACAGGG
rnacentral:rRNA from 1 species